rnacentral:lncRNA from 1 species
UGUGUGAAAGAGAGGAAAGUUGAUUCCUCUUGGAUGUGAGUUUUUGGUGUGGGCACCCUAGGGUUCUGUCUAGGAUUUUAUGAGAAGAGAGAAAAGAGAGUUAAGAGAAUCUUCUCCUCUUCUUCUUCCACCACCUUACCUCCUCCUAAGUGUCUUUCUCAUUCUCGAAAGAGUCUGAGAGAAUCGAAGGAGCAAGAUUGGCCAUCAAGAAGAUUUUCACACAAGCUAGCACUCCCAGAGAAAUCGAUCAAUGCUAGGGCUUCGCG